GCACCAAUGGUCUAGUGGUAGAAUAGUACCUUGCCAUAGUAUAGACCUGAGUUCGAUUCUUGGUUGGUGUA
rfam:Ipomoea nil DNA, scaffold: scaffold3100, cultivar: Tokyo-kokei standard.